GACGAACGCUGGCGGCGUGCCUAAUACAUGCAAGUCGAACGAAGCUGUUUUAACUGGUGCUUGCACCGACUUAAACAACUGAGUGGCGAACGGGUGAGUAACACGUGGGUAACCUGCCCCAAAGCGGGGGAUAACAUUUGGAGACAGACGCUAAUACCGCAUAACCACAGAAACCACAUGGUUUCUGUGCCAAAGAUGGUUUCGGCUAUCACUUUGGGAUGGACCCGCGGCGUAUUAGCUAGUUGGUAAGGUAAUGGCUUACCAAGGCAAUGAUACGUAGCCGAACUGAGAGGUUGAUCGGCCGCAUUGGGACUGAGACACGGCCCAAACUCCUACGGGAGGCAGCAGUAGGGAAUCUUCCACAAUGGACGAAAGUCUGAUGGAGCAACGCCGCGUGAGUGAAGAAGGUUUUCGGAUCGUAAAACUCUGUUGUCAGAGAAGAACGUGUGCGAGAGUAACUGUUCGUGCAGUGACGGUAUCUGGCCAGAAAGCCACGGCUAACUACGUGCCAGCCGCCGCCGUAA
rnacentral:rRNA from 1 species